UUCUUUCACUCAUGGAAAGGGGAGAUAUCGUUACGACGGCAAGUUAUACACAAGUUUGUAUCUUUUAAGUGAAGCAUUGUAGUCGUGUUUUGUCAAAGAGGGAGAAUUAAAGAACAAAGCUUUAUGAGAAAGAUUACGGAGCUUUAAGAAAUUCACCAAGGAUCAACUAAUCAUGGAAUCCAAAGAAUUCUGGUCAGGCCUCGUAUGAGAACAACAUGAGUUAAAGUCCGUUGACAGUGACACUGAUCAAAAUUCUUCUCAGGUGUAAGAACGCCACCAUAGCCAUCUAGGUAGGAGCAUUUAGGUGGAAAACAACACACAGAAUGCCACCAUGGGCUUCUUGGUGGUUAUUUGGCCACUGUCACUGAUACCCAUUGACCAUUAAUCAAAAUCAGCAAAUCAAAAAAUGGAGAAAACAAUGAAAAGGUGCAUGUAUCAAUACAGGUGUAAGAAGAAGGAAUGUCUCACUACCUGAAUUGAGAUUCCACAAAUUUAACACCUCUUCACAGAGCAAGAAUUGAUCACUCACUACAAGAAAAACCGCCUGAGGUGGCGGUUGUGCAUUUGAGCCGGAUUUUGAGCCGGCCUAAAUCCCAUUCAAAUCCGGGAAAAAAGAAUGAAACACUCUGAAAAAACUUUCAGACUUCCCGCGUUCGUAAUCUCUCUCUCUCGGUCUUGAUCAAAACUUUCUCACCACCGGAUGGCAACCAGAGAACGGCGAUGGAAUUAACAGGUGAGACUCUCUCUCUCUCAGUCUUGAUCAAGACUUUCUCACCACCGGACAAUAGCCAGAGAAUGAUGCUAACAUUAACAGGUUUCUGAACUGAAGGGGGAAGAUGUAGUUUGCAUGAUAAAGAACUCUGGUACAUUGGCUGGGUCAUUGUUCACAUUGCAUGUUUCUCAAAUCCAUAUUGACCUGCCUACCCUGACUGAUAAAGAUAAAGAAGUAAUAAGUACAUGGGGUGUCAGAAACUAUUGCUUUUUUGUCUU